UAGGGAAUAUUGGUUAAUCUGCGAAAGCGGGAACCAGCAACGCCGCGUGCACGAUGAAGGCCUUCGGGUUGUAAAGUGCUUUUUGAAAGGAUGAGGAAGGACAGUACUUUCAGAAUAAGCUUCGGCUAACUACGUGCCAGCAGCCGCGGUAACACGUAGGAGGCAAACGUUAUCCGGAUUUACUGGGCGUAAAGCGCGUGUAGGUGGUUCUGUAAGUAGGGCGUGAAAGCUCCUGGCUCAACUGGGAGAGGCCGUUCUAAACUGCAGAGCUAGAGGAUGGUAGAGGGAGGUGGAAUUCCGGGUGUAGCGGUGGAAUGCGCAGAUAUCCGGAGGAACACCAGCGGCGCAGGCGGCUCACUAGACAGUUUCUGACGCUAAGAUACGAAAGCGUGGGGAGCAAACA
rnacentral:rRNA from 1 species